rnacentral:rRNA from 1 species
ACCUACCCUUGAGUGGGGGAUAACUUCGGGAAACCGAGGCUAAUACCGCAUAAUACCUUCGGGUCAAAGGAGCAAUUCGCUUAAGGAGGGGGUCGCGGCUGAUUAGCUAGUUGGUAGGGUAAUGGCCUACCAAGGCAAUGAUCAGUAUCCGGCCUGAGAGGGCGCACGGACACACUGGAACUGAAACACGGUCCAGACUCCUACGGGAGGCAGCAGUGGGGAAUUUUGCACAAUGGGGGAAACCCUGAUGCAGCAACGCCGCGUGGAGGAUGAAGUCCCUUGGGAUGUAAACUCCUUUCGACCGGGACGAUAAUGACGGUACCGGUGGAAGAAGCCCCGGCUAACUCUGUGCCAGCAGCCGCGGUAAUACAGAGGGGGCAAGCGUUGUUCGGAAUUAUUGGGCGUAAAGGGUGCGUAGGCGGUGCGGUAAGUCUUCUGUGAAAUCUCCGGGCUCAACUCGGAGUCUGCAGGAGAAACUGCCGUGCUUGAGUAUGGGAGAGGUGAGUGGAAUUCCUGGUGUAGCGGUGAAAUGCGUAGAUAUCAGGAGGAA